rnacentral:tRNA from 1 species
GCGCCAGUAGCUCAGCGGAUCAGAGCACUUCGCUUCGGACGAAGGGGUCGGGGGUUCAAGUCCCUCCUGGCGCA